CACGUAGGAGACGAGCGUUAUCCGGAUUCACUGGGCGUAAAGGGCAAGUAGGCGGUUGCUCAAGUUGGGCGUGACAAUCUCUGGCUUAACUAGGGAAGGACGUUCAAAACUAGGCAACUUGAGGGCAGGAGAGGAAAGCGGAAUUCCUAGUGUAGCGGUGGAAUGCUCAGAUACUAGGAGGAACACCGGUGGCGAAGGCGGCUUUCUGGUCUGCACCUGACGCUGAGAGGCGAAAGCUAGGGUAGCGAACGGGCUUAGAUACCCCUGUAGUCCCU
rnacentral:rRNA from 1 species